UCUUAAUCAUGUUAAAUGGAACAUGAUUCUAGAUCUGCAGUCGUUAUCCUGCAGAAUCCUGCAGAAGCUGUUCUAAUAUUAUUUUAGACUUGAAAAGAUAAAAGAGAAACUGAAAGUGCUUAUUCUACUUUUUUGUCUUCUGCAGCCAAACUGCUAUUCGAGAGUAAUUAGCAUUAACGGUGAUGAGCAUAUCAUUAUAUUUGCAAAGAGGGAUAUUGAAAGAUGGGAAGAGCUGACAUAUGAUUAUAGGUUCUUUUCAAUUGAUGAACAACUUGCAUGCUACUGUGGCUUUCCAAGAUGCCGGGGUGUUGUUAAUGAUGUUGAAGCAGAGGAACAAUUGGCAAAGCUACAUGCUCCUCGCAGUGAGUUAAUAGACUGGAAGGGGGAGUAAGAGUGCCCCUCGACAUCUAGCAAGAUAAGCUCUGGGGUAGAACCAAGAUCUGAACCUUACCACCCAACUGGGUGGUGAGUCUGGUGACUUUUAUGGCAAGACCUCGCGGUAUCAAUUCCCGUCCGAGAUUCUUUUGAAGAGAGAAGUUUCAUGCUAACCAUCGGCUGAUUAUUGUGCAAGUUUUCUCAUCGCACCUUUGACUUUUGUAUGUUCUCUAAUUUCUGGAGGGGUACUUGUGAUAAUAUCAACUUGGUUCUUACUUUUGGUCUUAAACAUAAUGUCCUAGAAAUUCUUGACUCCUAUGGAGUUUCUUGUCCAAAAUUAGGACAAUUUAGCUUCUAUCUAUAGGUUUUUUACAUCAAUUUUUAAGACGGCAGUGGGCUAUACAAAUAUUUACAAAUACAUGAAUCUUUGUAAAAAGAUUCCAGUAUUACCUAUGAAAGGGGAUAUUGGUUGUACCUUGUAAAUUUUAAUGGCAAUCCUCAAUUUUUUCCCCUA